GGAAAUUGGAAGUGGGACAGUUUAUCAAAAUUGCAGAUCAGGCAGAGAAGAUAAAGAAGAAGACAUGGUGAAGCUGGAUUUCUGAGAUUGAGAAGAUGUUGCUGCUGAGAGAAAUAGAUCGAAAUUGAGAUGAUUCAGAGAGUUGGGUUAUUGUUUGAGCUCAUGGAAGAGAUGGGUUAUGAAGAAGAAAUGAGAUCAGUAAUGGUGAUUCUGUUGUUGAUGGUGAAAUUGAUGCAGAAAGAGACUUUAGGGUUUUUGAUUUGCUGUUAAUUUCAGAAAAAAGAGGAGAUGGAUUUGGUGGCUGAGUUCAUUGUAAAUUCUAGGGUUAGAUGCUUGUUAGGACAUGGUUGAAAUUCAGGUGGUACGACUGAAUUGCUAAUGGAUUUGUUUCUGAAUCUGAGAUGGGUUUGAUGUGGAAUGGGUCUUGGCAGUGAUGAAGUUGAAGUUGAAGUUGCAGAUGCGUGGUUGAUUUGUUGGUGGUGAUACCAGACUCUGUUUUGUGUUGGAGUUGGUUUUGUUGAUUGAUGAUUGAAUGGUUUUGUUGGGAUUGGAACUGGAGAUUGAUGAUUGAUGAAAUUGGGUUUAAUUCGAAGCUGAGACAGAGAGAAAAUAUGGGUAUGUGGUAGUUUUGAGUUAGAAAUCAAGCAGUGGAGAAGAUGGCGUUGGAGUGGAGAAGCUGAAAUUGAGUUGUGCUGGUGGGUUUGAGAAGUGCAUUAGAUAAAUGUAUGGCAGGAGCUUGAAUAUGAGAUGCAGAGAGGGAUUCUGGUACUGAGACUACAAUGGAAUGAUGCUGUUGAUAUGGACUGACAAAGGUGGCUAUGAAGCUGAGAUGAGGGGAUGGUGUUGAACUGAAGAGAAUAGAAGGGCAAGUGUUGGUUACUGCAAGCAAGAGUUGUUACUGUGCAGUUAGCUCAGUUUAUGAGCUGCUGGUGAAUGCAGGUGCAGAUAAUGGUAGAGCUGAGAGAAAUGGUUGCUUGUGUUAUGAACUAAAUCAGGAAUGGUGGUGAAGCUGAGUGUAUUGGUUUAGUUUGCAGUGAUUGAUUGCAGGUUGAACUUGACCUGAACUGAGCCUACUGCCUGAACAAGAGAUGUUGAAGAUGGAUGGAGAAUUGUAGGUAAUGGAUGUUAUGGAAUGGAUGCAGGUGGAGUUGGUAUUGCAGCUGCAGGUGAUGGAUUACAGGUUGAACUGGAGCUGUGUAGUGAGUUUAUGGUGUAGUUAUGUGAACUUGACUUGUACUGAGCCUACUGCCUGAAUAAGAGAUGGGGAAGCUAGAUGGGGAAUUACAGGUGAUAGAGCUGUGUAGUGCAGUUCAUAGGAUUAUAGGAAUAAUCAUUAACUCAGUGCAUAAGCAAAUCGGGGAUUCAACUCGGCAAUUCAUUUCUGUUGAAGGGCUUAAAUGACCUUUCUUUCUUGCCAGCUGGAGCUUAACACUCUUAACCAGCCGGUAGCCGUUUUUUGAAUAAAACGGGGCACUUUUGAAAAGUGCAAAAAAACGGGGGCAUUUUAUUUAUUGUAAUUCAAAAGUGGGGUACUUUAUCAAAAUUCCAAUAAAAUAUGUACCUGGGACAUGCAACUAUCAAUUUUCAUCAUCAUUUUGUCGGGAAGAAAGAAAUCUUGGCAGGUGGGUAUUAACAAUACAUAUGGAUAAUUAUCAAUUUCAUCUUCA